CCUGUUCGCGCGCCUCUGAGAGGUUCUCCUUGCGCGCGCGUGUGUGUGCGUGAGUGUGUAUUUGCUGGGACUCGAGCUGGAAAGUUCAAACUAAACGUGUUGCUCUCGCCGGCUGCCGAGGCCGCGGACGACGCUGCCCAACUUCUCUGCGCCAAGUGACUGGCGUUGCCCAGCGCCCUUGGCGCGGCGGCGGCCGCUCGGCCCUGCGCCCGGGCGCGGCGGCGGCGGCGGCGGCGGCGGCUCCGCGCACCCCGGGAGGGAGCCCGCGGCCGGGGCUGGACGCUCGGGCCGCCACCUCCAGCGACGCUCGCUCCUCGGCCCCCGCGCCUGGCGACCGCAGAAAGACUUGAAUGCAGCGAUCAUGUAAAUUAGAGAAAGAUAAAAAUAACCUCUGAAUAGUCUUCUCCUGUGAUGUUUAUUCUGGAUGAAGCAUUAAGAUCACUCGCAGAGGUGUAUAACAGCAAUUUGCUGCCAGAAGUGUUUUCUUCCAGAAGGCAGUAACUUCAAGCUCUUGUCGUGGAUAUAGAUUUUUGCUGCAACGAAAUAACACUGCUGGACUGUCUAUCGAUCUGGUCACCUAAGGUGAAGAAAAAAAGCAAGCUCAACAAAAAUUGUAUUCAAAGCUCCUGUGAUCACUUUUUCCCCUUUCGUGGCCGCAGGAGGGCAGUGGGGGAGGGGAUAUUUCUCCCUCUUGUGGGAGAAAAUG